GAUGAACGCUGGUUGCGUGCCUAAUACAUGCAAGUCGAGCGAACGGACGAGAAGCUUGCUUCUCUGAUGUUAGCGGCGGACGGGUGAGUAACACGUGGAUAACCUACCUAUAAGACUGGGAUAACUUCGGGAAACCGGAGCUAAUACCGGAUAAUAUUUCGAACCGCAUGGUUCAAAAGUGAAAGACGGUCUUGCUGUCACUUAUAGAUGGAUCCGCGCUGCAUUAGCUAGUUGGUAAGGUAACGGCUUACCAAGGCAACGAUGCAUAGCCGACCUGAGAGGGUGAUCGGCCACACUGGAACUGAGACACGGUCCAGACUCCUACGGGAGGCAGCAGUAGGGAAUCUUCCGCAAUGGGCGAAAGCCUGACGGAGCAACGCCGCGUGAGUGAUGAAGGUCUUCGGAUCGUAAAACUCUGUUAUUAGGGAAGAACAUAUGUGUAAGUAACUGUGCACAUCUUGACGGUACCUAAUCAGAAAGCCACGGCUAACUACGUGCCAGCAGCCGCGGUAAUACGUAGGUGGCAAGCGUUAUCCGGAAUUAUUGGGCGUAAAGCGCGCGUAGGCGGUUUUUUAAGUCUGAUGUGAAAGCCCACGGCUCAACCGUGGAGGGUCAUUGGAAACUGGAAAACUUGAGUGCAGAAGAGGAAAGUGGAAUUCCAUGUGUAGCGGUGAAAUGCGCAGAGAUAUGGAGGAACACCAGUGGCGAAGGCGACUUUCUGGUCUGUAACUGACGCUGAUGUGCGAAAGCGUGGGGAUCAAACAGGAUUAGAUACCCUGGUAGUCCACGCCGUAAACGAUGAGUGCUAAGUGUUAGGGGGUUUCCGCCCCUUAGUGCUGCAGCUAACGCAUUAAGCACUCCGCCUGGGGAGUACGACCGCAAGGUUGAAACUCAAAGGAAUUGACGGGGACCCGCACAAGCGGUGGAGCAUGUGGUUUAAUUCGAAGCAACGCGAAGAACCUUACCAAAUCUUGACAUCCUUUGACAACUCUAGAGAUAGAGCCUUCCCCUUCGGGGGACAAAGUGACAGGUGGUGCAUGGUUGUCGUCAGCUCGUGUCGUGAGAUGUUGGGUUAAGUCCCGCAACGAGCGCAACCCUUAAGCUUAGUUGCCAUCAUUAAGUUGGGCACUCUAAGUUGACUGCCGGUGACAAACCGGAGGAAGGUGGGGAUGACGUCAAAUCAUCAUGCCCCUUAUGAUUUGGGCUACACACGUGCUACAAUGGACAAUACAAAGGGCAGCGAAACCGCGAGGUCAAGCAAAUCCCAUAAAGUUGUUCUCAGUUCGGAUUGUAGUCUGCAACUCGACUACAUGAAGCUGGAAUCGCUAGUAAUCGUAGAUCAGCAUGCUACGGUGAAUACGUUCCCGGGUCU
rnacentral:rRNA from 1 species